rnacentral:rRNA from 1 species
UUUGACUGGGGCGGUCUCCUCCCAAAGAGUAACGGAGGAGCACGAAGGUGGGCUAAUCACGGUUGGACAUCGUGAGGUUAGUGCAAUGGCAUAAGCCCGCUUGACUGCGAGAAUGACAAUUCGAGCAGGUGCGAAAGCAGGUCAUAGUGAUCCGGUGGUUCUGAAUGGAAGGGCCAUCGCUCAACGGAUAAAAGGUACUCCGGGGAUAACAGGCUGAUACCGCCCAAGAGUUCAUAUCGACGGCGGUGUUUGGCACCUCGAUGUCGGCUCAUCACAUCCUGGGGCUGAAGUCGGUCCCAAGGGUAUGGCUGUUCGCCAUUUAAAGUGGUACGCGAGCUGGGUUUAGAACGUCGUGAGACAGUUCGGUCCCUAUCUGCCGUGGGCGUUGGAAGAUUGAAGGGGGCUGCUCCUAGUACGAGAGGACCGGAGUGGACGAACCUCUGGUGUUCGGGUUGUGUCGCCAGACGCAUUGCCCGGUAGCUAAGUUCGGAAUCGAUAACCGCUGAAAGCAUCUAAGCGGGAAGCGAGCCCUGAGAUGAGUCUUCCCUGAUACUUUAAGUAUCCUAAAGGGUUGUCGGAGACUACGACGUUGAUAGGUCAGGUGUGUAAGUGCUGUGAGGCAUUGAGCUAACUGAUACUAAUUGCCCGUGAGGCUUAACCAUACAACAC